rnacentral:rRNA from 1 species
GUUGUAUGGUUAAGUGACUAAGCGUACACGGUGGAUGCCUAGGCAAUCAGAGGCGAAGAAGGACGUGCUAAUCUGCGAAAAGCUUGGAUGAGUUGAUAAGAAGCGUUUAAUCCAAGAUAUCCGAAUGGGGAAACCCGAUAGGCGAAGAGCCUAUCAUCAUUACUUGAAUCCAUAGAGUAAUGAAGCAAACCGGGAGAACUGAAACAUCUAAGUACCCCGAGGAAAAGAAAUCAACCGAGAUUUCGUUAGUAGCGGCGAGCGAACGCGAAGGAGCCGCAAGUGAUAGCACAACAUUUAGGAGAAUGAGCUGGGAAGCUCAAUCGUAGAGGGUGAUAAUCCCGUAUCCCAAAAAUAGUGUGUGGUACUAGGCUUGCAAGAAGUAAGGCGGGACACGUGAUAUCCUGUCUGAAGAUGGGGGGACCAUCCUCCAAGGCUAAAUACUCCUGAUUGACCGAUAGUGAACCAGUACUGUGAAGGAAAGGCGAAAAGAACCCCAGUGAGGGGAGUGAAAUAGAACCUGAAACCGUGUACGUACAAGCAGUGGGAGCCCGAAAGGGUGACUGCGUACCUUUUGUAUAAUGGGUCAGCGACUUAUAUUUUGUAGCGAGGUUAACCGAAUAGGGGAGCCGUAGGGAAACCGAGUCUUAACUGGGCGUUAGAGUUGCAAGGUAUAGACCCGAAACCCGGUGAUCUAGCCAUGGGCAGGUUGAAGGUUGGGUAACACUAACUGGAGGACCGAACCGACUAAUGUUGAAAAAUUAGCGGAUGACUUGUGGCUGGGGGUGAAAGGCCAAUCAAACCGGGAGAUAGCUGGUUCUCCCCGAAAUCUAUUUAGGUAGAGCCUUAUGUGAAUACCUUCGGGGGUAGAGCACUGUUUCGGCUAGGGGUCCAUCCCGGAUUACCAACCCGAUGCAAACUGCGAAUACCGAAGAGUAAUGCAUAGGAGACACACGGCGGGUGCUAACGUUCGUCGUGGAGAGGGAAACAACCCAGACCGCCAGCUAAGGUCCCGAAGUCUAUAUUAAGUGGGAAACGAAGUGGGAAGGCUUAGACAGCUAGGAUGUUGGCUUAGAAGCAGCCAUCAUUUAAAGAAAGCGUAAUAGCUCACUAGUCGAGUCGGCCUGCGCGGAAGAUGUAACGGGGCUCAAAUAUAGCACCGAAGCUGCGGCAUCAGGAUUUAUCCUGUUGGGUAGGGGAGCGUCGUGUAAGCGGAUGAAGGUGAACCGAGAGGUUUGCUGGACGUAUCACGAGUGCGAAUGCUGACAUAAGUAACGAUAAAACGAGUGAAAAACUCGUUCGCCGGAAGACCAAGGGUUCCUGUCCAACGUUAAUCGGGGCAGGGUGAGUCGGCCCCUAAGGCGAGGCUGAAAAGCGUAGUCGAUGGGAAACGGGUUAAUAUUCCCGUACUUGUCUUCAUUGCGAUGUGGGGACGGAGAAGGUUAGGUAAGCAGACUGUUGGAUAUGUCUGUUUAAGUAGGUAGGUGGGAAGAUUAGGCAAAUCCGGUCUUCCAUUCAACACCGAGAAAUGAUGACGAGGCUCUACGGAGCUGAAGUUACCGAUACCACGCUUCCAGGAAAAGCCACUAAGCUUCAGAUGAAGAUAAACCGUACUGAAAACCGACACAGGUGGUCAGGUAGAGAAUACUCAGGCGCUUGAGAGAACUCGGGUGAAGGAACUAGGCAAAAUAGCACCGUAACUUCGGGAGAAGGUGCGCUGGCGUAGGUUGUAGUGUCUCGCACACGAAGGCUGAACCAGUCGAAGAUACCAGCUGGCUGCAACUGUUUAUUAAAAACACAGCACUCUGCAAACACGAAAGUGGACGUAUAGGGUGUGAUGCCUGCCCGGUGCUGGAAGGUUAAUUAAUGGUGUUAUCGAAAGAGAAGCUCCUGAUCGAAGCCCCAGUAAACGGCGGCCGUAACUAUAACGGUCCUAAGGUAGCGAAAUUCCUUGUCGGGUAAGUUCCGACCUGCACGAAUGGCAUAAUGAUGGCCAGGCUGUCUCCACCCGAGACUCAGUGAAAUUGAAAUCGCCGUGAAGAUGCGGUGUACCCGCGGCUAGACGGAAAGACCCCGUGAACCUUUACUAUAGCUUGACACUGAACAUUGAAUUUUGAUGUGUAGGAUAGGUGGGAGACUUUGAAGCAGGCACGCCAGUGCUUGUGGAGUCGACCUUGAAAUACCACCCUUUAACGUUUGAUGUUCUAACGAAGAUUACGAAACGUGGUCUCGGACAGUGUCUGGUGGGUAGUUUGACUGGGGCGGUCUCCUCCCAAAGCGUAACGGAGGAGCACGAAGGUUUGCUAAUGACGGUCGGACAUCGUCAGGUUAGUGCAAUGGUAGAAGCAAGCUUAACUGCGAGACAGACAAGUCGAGCAGGUGCGAAAGCAGGUCAUAGUGAUCCGGUGGUUCUGAAUGGAAGGGCCAUCGCUCAACGGAUAAAAGGUACUCCGGGGAUAACAGGCUGAUACCGCCCAAGAGUUCAUAUCGACGGCGGUGUUUGGCACCUCGAUGUCGGCUCAUCACAUCCUGGGGCUGAAGUAGGUCCCAAGGGUAUGGCUGUUCGCCAUUUAAAGUGGUACGCGAGCUGGGUUUAGAACGUCGUGAGACAGUUCGGUCCCUAUCUGCCGUGGGCGUUGGAGAAUUGAGAGGGGCUGCUCCUAGUACGAGAGGACCGGAGUGGACGCACCACUGGUGUUUCGGUUGUGUCGCCAGACGCAUUGCCGAGUAGCUACGUGCGGAAGAGAUAAGUGCUGAAAGCAUCUAAGCACGAAACUUGCCUUAAGAUGAGUUCUCCCUGGCUUUAAGUCAGUAAGGGUUGUUGUAGACGACGACGUAGAUAGGUGGGGUGUGUAAGCGUAGUGAUACGUUGAGCUAACCCAUACUAAUUGCCCGAGAGGCUUAACCAUACAACCUCAAGCGUU